rnacentral:rRNA from 1 species
GACGAACGCUGGCGGCGUGCUUAACACAUGCAAGUCGAACGGAAAGGCCCUGCUUUUGUGGGGUGCUCGAGUGGCGAAAGGGUGAGUAACACGUGAGUAACCUGCCCUUGACUUUGGGAUAACUUCAGGAAACUGGGGCUAAUACCGGAUAGGAGCUCCUGCUGCAUGGUGGGGGUUGGAAAGUUUCGGCGGUUGGGGAUGGACUCGCGGCUUAUCAGCUUGUUGGUGGGGUAGUGGCUUACCAAGGCUUUGACGGGUAGCCGGCCUGGGAGGGUGACCGGCCACAUUGGGACUGGGAUUCGACACAGACUCCUACGGUAGGCAGCAGAGUGGAAUGUUACACAGUAGACGGAAUGCUAAUGCAGCAACGCCGCGUGCGGGAUGACGGCCUUCGGGUUGUAAACCGCUUUCGCCUGUUACGAAGCGUGAAUGACGGUAAUGGGUAAAGAAGCACCGGCUAACUACGUG